rnacentral:rRNA from 1 species
GACGAACGCUGGCGGCGUGCUUAACACAUGCAAGUCGAACGGUAAGGCCCUUCGGGGUACACGAGUGGCGAACGGGUGAGUAACACGUGGGUGAUCUGCCCUGCACUUCGGGAUAAGCCUGGGAAACUGGGUCUAAUACCGGAUAGGACCCUGGGAUGCAUGUCCUGGGGUGGAAAGCUUUUGCGGGGUGGGAUGGGCCCGCGGCCUAUCAGGUUGUUGGUGGGGUGAUGGCCGACCAAGGCGACGACGGGUAGCCGGACUGAAAGGGUGACCGGCCACACUGGGACUGAGAUACGGCCCAGACUCCUACGGGAGGCAGCAGUGGGGAAUAUUGCACAAUGGGCGCAAGCCUGAUGCAGCGACGCCGCGUGAGGGAUGACGGCCUUCGGGUUGUAAACCUCUUUCAGCACCGACGAAGCGCAAGUGACGGUAGGUGCAGAAGAAGGACCGGCCAACUACGUGCCAGCCGCCGCCGUAA